rnacentral:rRNA from 1 species
UACAGAGGGGGCAAGCGUUGUUCGGAAUUACUGGGCGUAAAGGGCGCGUAGGCGGCCUUCUAAGUCGAACGUGAAAUCCCUGGGCUCAACCCAGGAACUGCGUCCGAUACUGGAAGGCUUGAAUCCGGGAGAGGGAUGCGGAAUUCCAGGUGUAGCGGUGAAAUGCGUAGAUAUCCGGAGGAACACCGGUGGCGAAGGCGGCUCUCUGGGACGGUACUGACGCUGAGACGCGAAAGCGUGGGGAGCGAACAGG